UACGUAGGGGGCAAGCGUUGUCCGGAUUUAUUGGGCGUAAAGAGCGUGUAGGCGGCCAAGCAGGUCCGCUGUGAAAACUCGAGGCUCAACCUCGAGACGUCGGUGGAAACCGUUUGGCUAGAGUCCGGAAGAGGAGAGUGGAAUUCCCGGUGUAGCGGUGAAAUGCGCAGAUAUCGGGAAGAACACCCGUGGCGAAGGCGGGUAGCUGGGCCGACACUGACGCUGAGGCGCGAAAGCCAGGGGAGCGAACGGG
rnacentral:rRNA from 1 species